rnacentral:tRNA from 2 species
UACAUUUUGGUGUAUGGUGCACAGAAGAUUUUGAUGCUUCGGGAAGUAGUUUAAAUCUAUUAAAUGUAA